UUAAUUGAAACCAAAUAUUGAGGUAUGCCACUGUUAAUGGCAUCAUUGGGAUUUCCCCAAUUAAA
rnacentral:tRNA from 1 species